GUGAACGCUGGCGGUAGGCCUAACACAUGCAAGUCGAACGGCAGCACAGGAGAGCUUGCUCUCUGGGUGGCGAGUGGCGGACGGGUGAGGAAUACAUCGGAAUCUGCCCAGUCGUGGGGGAUAACGUAGGGAAACUUACGCUAAUACCGCAUACGACCUUCGGGUGAAAGAGGGGGAUCGCAAGACCUCUCGCGAUUGGAUGAGCCGAUGUCGGAUUAGCUAGUUGGCGGGGUAAUGGCCCACCAAGGCGACGAUCCGUAGCUGGUCUGAGAGGAUGAUCAGCCACACUGGAACUGAGACACGGUCCAGACUCCUACGGGAGGCAGCAGUGGGGAAUAUUGGACAAAGGGCGCAAGCCUGAUCCAGCCAUACCGCGUGGGUGAAGAAGGCCUUCGGGUUGUAAAGCCCUUUUGUUGGGAAAGAAAUCUUUCAGGCUAAUACCCUGGGAGGAUGACGGUACCCAAAGAAUAAGCACCGGCUAACUUCGUG
rnacentral:rRNA from 1 species